AUGGCUACUCGUCCCGUGUCCUACGCCCUCCUCGUGCUCACGACCCUUCCCCUAGCCCUCGCCACCAGCUUCCCACACCGCGCUCUACUCCAGACAUGCCAGCCAAGCGGCACCAUCGCCGGCGAGUCCGGCAGCUGCAGCACGGAGAACGACUCCGAGUGCUGCGAAGACGGGCGGCGCUAUAGAACGUUCGCGUGCUCCCCGCGCGUCACGGGAAGGACCCGCGCCUCGCUCACGCUCAACAGCUUCGCCGACGGCGGGGACGGCGGCGGGAAGUCCGAGUGCGACGAGAGGUUCCACCCAGACUCCCAGAUGGUCGUCGCACUGUCGACCGGGUGGUUCGCCGGCGGGGGACGGUGCGGGAAGCGCGUCGUGAUCCGGGCCGCCAACGGGAGGACCGCCACGGCCACGGUGGUGGACGAGUGCGACUCGAAGCAUGGCUGCGACGAGGAGCACAACUUCGAGCCCCCGUGCGCGAACAACAUCGUCGACGGGUCGCCGGCCGUGUGGAAGGCGCUCGGGCUCGACACGGACGAUGGGGUGGUGCCGGUCACGUGGUCCGACGCGUGA
rnacentral:rRNA from 1 species